AAUCUCGUUUCCGAAGAAAAUACUGCGGCGAUCGCUUGAAAGCGAAAUUUUCGUUUCGUGUCUUUUCAGUUUUGUUCUUGGAGUUAUCGCGUUUAGUUAUUCAAAAAAUUACACUUCGCGUUCAAUAGCAAAUCUUGAGUGUGCUUAAAUAGUAAUUAUACACACAAAAAAUUGCUUAAAUUCUUCCUUUGGAUUUUCAAAUCGCGAUCAAAUAAAGCGUGAAACGUUUAGCAAACUACAAAAAUUAAUUGGAAAAACGUGUCACAAUCGCAAACAAACCAAUAGUACAGACUUAAGUACAUGCGUAUAAAAUUUAAAUAAUUGUGAAUUCAACAACAUACCAUAAAUAAAUGAAUUGCGUGAAAUUAAAUUUUUGAAACGCUCUUUUAUAACAUAACAAAAACGAAGUGCAAUAAUUUAUUUACUUUAAAAAAAAAUCAGUUCGAGUUUAAAACCGCAAGAACUUUACAAAUAAUUGUGUGUGGCUAGUGGAUUUUCAUUGAUUAAGCCAUUAGUAAAAUCCUUUUUUGUACACAUCUUUAUUUAAAAAAAAACUGCAAAACAAAAACAGCUUCAAAAUGAGUCUGUGUGAUGCUAGCGUCGUUACCAUUCAAGCUACCCCCCAACAACAACAUCAGAGCACACAAAGCAUAGCCGAUUAUUUGGCACAAUUACUGAAGGAUCGCAAACAAAUGGCAGCUUUUCCAAAUGUAUUCAAUCAUGUUGAACGUCUACUCGAUGAAGAAAUCGCGCGAGUACGUGCCUCACUAUUUCAAAUAAAUGGCGUCAAGAAGGAACCACUCACGCUGCCAGAGCCCGAGGGCGCCCCUGUACAGUUAAAUGAGAAAGUAUACGUGCCGGUUCGAGAACAUCCAGAUUUCAACUUCGUUGGCAGAAUUUUGGGCCCACGCGGCAUGACAGCUAAGCAAUUAGAACAAGAGACUGGUUGUAAAAUAAUGGUUCGAGGCAAAGGCUCAAUGAGAGAUAAAAAGAAGGAGGACGCAAAUCGCGGCAAACCCAACUGGGAACACUUGUCCGACGAUCUGCACGUGUUGAUCACGGUGGAGGACACAGAAAAUCGUGCCAAAGUCAAAUUAGCUCAGGCCGUUGCCGAAGUGCAAAAGCUUCUAGUACCGCAAGCCGAAGGCGAAGAUGAACUUAAAAAACGUCAACUCAUGGAAUUAGCUAUAAUUAAUGGCACUUAUAGGGAUACGUCGGCGAAAAAUGCCAUACCAGCCUGCGAGGAGGAAUGGCGCCGUGUGAUCGCUGCAUCGGCUGAGAGUCGCCUAUUGGCGCCAGCAUUGCCAGCUUUAGGACCACAGAUACGUGCACCACAGGCCACCACUCUGGGCGCUCCCUUGAUACUUUCACAACGCAUGACCGUGCCGACCACAGCGGCGAGCAUACUGUCCGGCCAAGCUGCGCCCGCCGCCUUCGAGAAUCCCGCACACGGCAUGAUUUUCGCCCCGUACGGCGAUUACGCGAAUUAUGCUGCACUCGCUGCCGGCAAUCCCUUGCUGACGGAAUACACAGAUCAUAGCGUUGGUCGAUAUUUGCAUGCCGGCUCCGUCUUUUGAACGUUUUACCAACCAAGCCCUUUCUAAAGUAAUUUAUUGUACUCCAUUUCUUCACCACUUGAGCCAGCAAGCAGCGCCAAGAUUUGUUGCAACAAUCAAAAUAGGUUUAGUGAAUUUGUAAAUUUGAGUGUUGUUGCAAAUAGCGGCAAACAACAAACGUAAAUAUAAAGAAAAAUAUAUAUAAAUGAAGAAUGAAAAUAUUAUAGAAAGAAACAAGCAGACAGUAGAUUUUGAUUACAUACUUACGUUUGUAACUGUGCUAGCGUUGUUAUUUGUUAAGUAAGAGGAAACACAUUCAAUUCGGAAGUUAAUAUGUAUAAGUUAAUACAUAUAAAAUACACACAUACUUAUAUAUAAAUAUAUAAAGUAAUAAAUUUACACUCUAUGCAAAGUGAUAAGCAAGUUUAUUAAAGAAGUUAGCAGAGUUUUAGGCGCAUGCGCACAGUGAAUACAACAAACAACGCAAAUACUCAAAGUAAAAGAACAAAAAAUUACAAAAGAAAAAAAAAUAGUAAAUUAAAGCAAUAUAACCGUUAGUAACUAGUUUUUGGUAUCGUAUAUGCAAUUAGCCCGGUAAAAACUUACAACAAACAAUUUUUCGAAUUUCAUCAGAGCAAAUGCUAAUAAGUGAUUUUUAAUUAGCCGCAAGUGAGCAAUAUUAUUAUAAAUAGAAUAUAAGUUAUGUUUAAAAUUAGUUUAGACUAUAAAUUUUGUUAGCAGCUUUUGUUACUUAGUUGUUUUGAAAUUAUUUUCUAGUGCUUUGGGAUUCUGUUAAACAUCUUCUUAUCAAGCAAAUAUAUAAUGAGUAUAUUCUAGUUACGAGAAAUCAUAUAUUUUAAGCUCUUAUUUGUAUAACUUUCACCUAAAUUACUUGCAUAUAUGUAAUUAUCUAGGCGUUUUAAAUAGGGUUUCACUUUUAGAAUUUGUCUCCUUGGUGUUUAACUCUUAUAAAUAUUAUUUUAUAGUAUGAAAAAUAUAUAUAUAUUCUAAACUAACAGAACGAUUCAUUAUUUUAUUUUCUUACCAAUUAUUUAUUUUCUGUUUAGCAUUUUCUAUUAUAUAUUUGUUAGUUUAUAUCAUAUUUUAUUAAGUGUUAUAUAACAAUUUAUUUAUAUUUUAUUUGAGCGUCUCUUCGUUGCCAUUUGUAUGAAAUUCAAUUGAAAAACGAAAGUUCUUUGGCAGUGCAGCCCACUCUUUUCAAAUUAUUUACAUAUCCAUUUAACAUCUAUAUUUUUAUUUUUUAACACUAAUUUUCAUAUUCAAAUUUAUUUAUAAAUAAUCAGAUCUACAGCUAUUUUAUUUCGAACCAGUUCUUGACCGAAUUUAUGUAUUUGUUUCUUUCUUGUAGCUCUACGUUAUUUACGCGAUUAUACCUUCUCCCCGUCGCAUUUUUCCACAUAGUGCCAUUGUCUUGAAUCUUUUAUGAAGUAAAAAAAAGGCAGUUAGAUAAGACAUGUUUAUCUCAUUAUAUUGGAAUUCGAAAUGCUAGUAUUUACUAGACCACAUAUAUGAUUAUAUUCAUAAGAGCUUUCACAUUUAUUAGUUAAAUAUUGAGCUUUUGAGCUUACAAUAUGGCGUCGAAUCAUAAUGGUGCUAAUAUUAUUGAUGAUCUAAAGAGAUUCGACAAGCAUUCAUUUAAACUUUUUGUUGAGCUUUCAUAAAUGUAUGUAGUUCUUCCACAAACGAAAUUAUUACCGUCUAGUAUAUAUUUAAGUAACUAUAUUUAAACAAUUUGUAUAUAAAUAAUUAUACAUACACAACAUUUUAUUUGUUAUGCCUACAAAAGCCAUAAACUAGUUUAAUUCAACAGAAAAAAACUGUAUAAAUCGUUUACAGCUCACCGAUAUCCGUCCAAAUAAUUAAGUUGCCUAGUCAAAGUUAAUUACCACACAAAACAAUAUAAACAACGGCAUAUAGGUUGAAAUAAAUAAAAGUACAUUUAACAAGUGUUAUGGCUUGUUAAAGUUAAAAUUUAUAAGCUUUCACUUCACAAUAGUAUUAUCAUGGUUGAGAGCCAAAGCUUUAUCGAGCUUUUCGUCGCAAUUACGGUGAGAUUCUCUUCAAUUUCGAGCAUUCGAGCUGUCGGCUUGUGACGCUCGUUGAAUGUAUGCAUAUUAUUUUAGAGUACUGUAAACACAUUUUAAGUUUACGUUCAUGAUUUUUUUAUAUUUGUUUUAGUCUUUUUCUGUUCUUCUUUUUUGUUUUUAUUAAAUUUUUUUCGUUUUUUUUUGAAGCAUGCGUACUUUGGGUCUAUGCUCAGUUUAGUAGGUGGUAAAGUUAUUGCUAAAGUAUAUAAGCUAAGUACUCAUUCGUAGCUUUUAAGCGUGUUUAAUUAGAAAUCACUUAUUGGUUAAAUUUGAUAGCUUAACAGUAAAAGCGAAUUCUUUUUUAAUGAAAAUUCAAUUGUCACUUAAACACAUACAACAAACAAACAAAGCAUAUACGAUUCAUUCCAAAGAAUAUUAAAAUCUAAAUAUACGUAUGCUAUAUAUACACAUAGGCAUAUGUAUAUAUACAACACACAUUAUAAAAUGGCUGCCGAAGCCUUUUGUUGAAUAGUUUUUUUUUUUGUAAAUUAUUAAAUAAAUUCUUCGAUUCACAGAAAUUGCUAAAAGCAAGAUUGAGCUUCCAGACAUGGGAGCCAAACCAAGUGUAUUCUUUUUUAUUUUAACAAACUCGAAAGCCUUAGAACCAACAAAGAAAGCAUAAAGCGCCCAGUUAAAAUGCAAAUGUAAUUUUUUUACAAAUGAAAAUUGCAGCUUUUCGCUUUCACUCAUUGCAAUAUGUAGUUUUGUAUGAAAAAUGGUAGUAUUUACAUUGUUUCCUUGUCUGCAAAGCGAUUUUUUUUAUCUAUAGAAUUUAUCUUGUUAUUGAAUAUUUAUGUAGUGCACAAAUGAUUGUAUAUUUUUUACGUUUAUCAGAAUUUAUUUUCUAUCUAAAUAUCUAGAGUAUACUCCUAUGUACAUAUGUACAUACAUAUGUACAAUAUGUAUAGUAAUGACGUUAUGUGAAAAAUUAUUAUGAAUUUAUAUAAACUAUAAUAUAAUGCCCUUACUUAUUAAUCUUACUAUGUAUAUAUCGAAUAUAUUCUAGUAGGCGCUCUUAAACAGCAGAGACGUUUGGCUAACAGAGAUCAUCCAUAUCAGAGGGCUGCGGCUGCGGUCGGCGUCACAGCCAAGCCAGGUUUCAUUGAGAUACAGUAAAUAACGGUUAAGAACUUAAGCAUUAGCGAGAAAAGUAAACUAAAGUUAAAAAAGCUAAAAGGAAUGAAAUUACAACAACAAAAGUUAAUGUUAAAGUUUAUCACAUAUUUGCGGCGCAUGCAUACAUACAACAACACUACAUAAAUAACGGUUUAUGUACACUCAAAUGUAUGCAGCCCAGCGGCUUCAUUAAUAUCUUUCGUUUAUUUCAUUAUUAUUAUUUUUUUUUUUUUGAUAAGAAAUUUAAGUAAUCUCGUUUUUAUACAUAAAUAUUGUUUUUUCUUUAAGUAAAAAGUUGCAAAUAAAUUUUAUAUAAUGUUUUUAAGAGCGAAAUUUACAAGUAAUUACUUUUACAAGUAAGUUAAAAUUUUGAAGAAAUUGCAUUUUUCAAACAUUUUGUUGAAAAUAAAAUAAUAAUAUUUUAAAUUAAAAAAAUUAAAAAAAAUAAUAAAAACCUUUAAAUAAAAAAUAUAUAUUUAAAUUUGCUAAUUGCCUGCGCGAAGCUGUGACCAGAACGACUGCGUAUAGCCCACGAAAUGUUAAGUAAUUGGGCUGAAUAUUGAAAAUAAAACAAACACACACACUCACUCAAAAAAAAAAAAAUCAAACGUACGACUCUGACUUCUGCAAAAAGCGCCAAGCUGUGUGAAAUGAAUUAUUGCGUUUAACUCAAACUGAAUGAUUUGCCCAGUUUUACAGCUCAACAGACGAAAAUAACCCAUUUAGACGCGAUUGAUUGAUUAACUCGUUGCUACCACACACACACCUUCACAACUACUACCAACUAUUAAUAACUAAAAUACAUAACAAUUAGAGAAGUAAAAAUAGUUGUCUUUCUCACUCGACAGAUGACUAAGGGCAUACAAAAAGUUUACUAUUGAAUGCGAGCCAUAUGAAAGAAAAAACAAUAAAAAUAUUAUAAAAACAAUAAUAUAGUAAUAAUAAAACUGAAUAAUAUUGAAUAAUACAAAAUUAAUAACAUAACAAAAAGAAUAACAAAAAAUUAAUAAUAUAAUAACAAUUUUAAAUCAUAUUGUAUGUUAUAAUCAUGCCAUGUAAAGCAAUAACAACAAAAUAAGUAAAAAAGGCGAAUAAAUCAGAGAAAAAAUUAUAAUGGCAGUGACGUAUGUGAACACUUCGCAAGUUGACGGUGCGAAGCGGUAAUGCGCAACAAACUAACAGAAACCGAGAAUGCCACUUUUAUCACGCUUAACGCUCUGAACAACAAACCAAGUGGCUAGUAGUAAAAAGAAAAACAACAACAACAACUACAACAAUAAUUUAUAUCAAAUAACAGCUACAACAACUAAUCUUAUAGGAAACGCUCUGACAUAAUAAACUACUAUACGAGUAUUGCUAACAACAUCAGCGUUAUCACCCCACCACCACCACAUAUCGCACUAUCACCUUCCUACUUAUCAUCUUUGUGACAUUGUAUGCAUGCCAUGUGCAUAAGUAUAAGUACAAACAAUACCCUAUAUAUAUAUCAACACACAUAUAUAUAUAUAAAUAUAUAUAUAUAUAUAUAUAUAUUUACCAAUGCUGUAUGCAACGAUGGCUACUAUAGUGUAUAGUGUAUACCUCACCUUCGUUUAGCUAACAACUGUGUAUAUACACCGACGCCACUGUACAUCCCCGCCUACGAUUACAUUCGUCUGCCACAUAACGGCAUAAUACACAACAGUAUUGGUAGAAAGCAUUCGAAUGCUUCGUCGUCCGUAUCCACCACAUCGGCAUCCUCGUCCUUUAUGCCGGUGGGAUGAAUUGUGUUAAUAUGUGUACGAGCGUGUGUCAGCCGAUGUGUCGAGCAGCAGCAAACAAUCAGUCAACUGAACAAGCAGUCAAUUAAGCCACCUAAUAUCAUGUGUCUGCUUGCUUUCACCACACCACACCGCCAGCGAUGCAUACCUUGAGGCACUUAAUUGGGAGCGUGUAUACUAAGUGGCAUAACUGAAUUUGCGAUGUAACCAAUAGUGUACUCACCACGGUUUUGCAAUAAAAUAUACUCUACUUUCACCCGAUUCUUGCUAGAUGCUGGCUUGAUCUUUAGCGGCGAUUGACUGGUAGUUCUGAAAUUGUCUCGUCGCGUUUUCUUUCCAACUCAGCAAAUGCGAAAUAUUUGUUGUUUUGCAUAACAGUUAAUCAAUUCUAACUAGAACUAACAUGAAUCAAUCAAACCUAGACAUUUUUUAGUUCUUAACGCCUUAUCAUAAUGCGUAGCUCGUUUAAUGUUUAAAUUACCAGCGCACAAACGAACACACGCAUACAUAUAUAUAUUGAAGAGUAGAUAUUCAAAAAGUGCCACACUGUAUGCGAUGAACGGUAAAUGCGAAUUAUUGUAAGCCAUAAUUUUCUAUCAACUCUAAGCUGCGAACAAAAAUCAUGUACUUCUCAAAUCAAGUCUCAUGCGAAUCUCAAAAACUAUGUGGAAAUUUUGUUAAAAAAAAUAAUUUAUCAGUUUUUUUUUAUAUUAUACUUUUCUUAAAAACAAUAUUAUUUGUAAGUAAUAUAGCUUUUGUGGCAAAGCAUUAUUUAAGUAUAAUAAAUAUUAUUUAAUAUAAAUAAUAAUAACCACCAGCUACAAAUGCAACAAAAACAAAACAAAAAGUAAAAGAAAGAAAGCAAGCGUUAUGCAUAUUAUAGUCAUUUUAGCCAAUCAUGUUAUAACACAGUUUAUAUAAAACAUUUUUUAAGCAGAAAAAUUCUAUAAAAGGGGUUUAAAAGCAAUUAUAUAUUACAAACUAGCUUAACAGGAAAUAAAUUUUUUAUUAUAAAUAAAAACUAUGGACAACUAUAACAAGAAAAAAUCGAUCAUAUGAAACAAGAAAAAAGCCAUAUUUAGUCUGUAUAAGAAUAUAAAUUAAUUGUAGGCAUAAUUUAUUUACAAAUAGCAGUUAAAUGUUUUUUUGCAAAAUAUAAUUAAUGAUGUUAUGGUUAAUCAUCACCUAUCAAUCACAAUACGCACAUUUAAAGCAAAAAAAUAAACGCAUCUACAUUAAUUACAUUUAACAUUAAUUAGGAAUAAUAAUAAAAAUAAUAAAAAAGUUGCAGUUAAACUUACAUUGAGUGAAAUUAUGUAUUUGGUUUUUAACAACACAGAAAAACAAAAAAGUUAAUAAUAAGAAAUAACAAAACGUAAAAAAAAAUAAAUCUGCACAAUUCAAGCUGAUUGCUUGGCCAGCUGGAGUUUUUGCUCCAACUUUAAUUACAAAAAUAUUUAAGAAACGAGUCUAUUAAAAAAAUUUUAUAAAAUAAUGCAAAUUCUAAAUUGUUGUUUGUGAAAAAAAGCAACGUGUUUUUAUUAGUAAAAAUUACAACAAACUUAAUAAACAUGCUAAGCAUAACUUUGGUUAAUACACAGUUUACUUCUAGCUUCUGCUAAGCAUGCCUUUGGCAUGGCGUAAAAUACAUGGCAUAUUUCUUAAUUUGUGGAAAAAAGUUGCUUUGAAAAGGCACUAGAAUUCUGCGCAGUAAUUAUUUUAAUAACAUAACGUCACGAUUUUUCACGAUAAUUAUUGAAUUAAUCUCUAAAAUAAUCUAAAUAUUCUAAAAUUUUCACCAUAUUAGCCAAACAAUUUUAAUGCAACUUUUAGGCGUAUAUACUAUUUAUUCAAAAUUUGAAGUAAAAUAGCGACAAUAAUUACA